rnacentral:rRNA from 1 species
CUCCAAUAGCGUAUAUUAAAGUUGCUGCAGUUGAAAAGCUCGUAGUUGGAUUUCAGGAUCGCCGGACCUGUCUGCCUAUGGCAGAACGGGUAACGUGCGGUUCUUCCUGCUGAUGAACCAGUCUGUGCCGCGAGGUGUGGGCUGGCGAAUUAGUACGUUUACUUUGAAGAAAUUAGAGUGUUCAAAGCAGGCUAACGCUU